rnacentral:rRNA from 1 species
UGAACGCUGGCGGCGUGCCUAAUACAUGCAAGUCGAGCGAACAGACGAGGAGCUUGCUCCUCUGACGUUAGCGGCGGACGGGUGAGUAACACGUGGAUAACCUACCUAUAAGACUGGGAUAACUUCGGGAAACCGGAGCUAAUACCGGAUAAUAUAUUUAACCGCAUGGUUCAAUAGUGAAAGACGGUUUUGCUGUCACUUAUAGAUUGAUCCGCGCCGCAUUAGCUAGUUGGUAAGGUAACGGCUUACCAAGGCGACGAUGCGUAGCCGACCUGAGAGGGUGAUCGGCCACACUGGAACUGAGACACGGUCCAGACUCCUACGGGAGGCAGCAGUAGGGAAUCUUCCGCAAUGGGCGAAAGCCUGACGGAGCAACGCCGCGUGAGUGAUGAAGGUCUUCGGAUCGUAAAACUCUGUUAUUAGGGAAGAACAAAUGUGUAAGUAACUAUGCACGUCUUGACGGUACCUAAUCAGAAAGCCACGGCUAACUACGUG